CAGCGCCACGAGUGGCAAUCGCGUUUAUUGGGCCUAAAGCGUUCGUAGCCGGUUUAGCAAAUCUUUUGUGAAAGCGUCAAGCUUAACUUGACGAGUGGCAGAAGACACUACUAAACUAGGGACCGGGAGGAGUCAGAAGUAUUCCGGGGGGACCGGUAAAAUGGUAUAAUCCCCGGAGGACUACCGAUGGCGAAGGCAUCUGACCAGAACGGAUCCGACGGUGAGGAACGAAAGCUAGGGGAGCAAACCGGAUUAGAGACCCGAGUAGUCC
rnacentral:rRNA from 1 species